rnacentral:lncRNA from 1 species
GUCGCCGCUCGCGCUCCCGUCACGGGGCGGGCGGCUUCGCGGGGCCGCCUCGCUGCGGGACCCGGCUCGGCGCGUCCGGAGGGCGGAGGACAAUUGUAUAUGACUCAUAGAAAUGUCUACGGCAACUCCUGCCUGUGUGGUCUGAACGUUGCACAGACAUCACAGCUUCUGUGAUAGUCAUCACCCAGUGAGUAACAAGUGAAGUGGAUUAGAAAUGGGCCUUGCCUGGGCAGUGGCACAGAGAAAUAAAAUCCC